CUUCAAGUAGGGAAUAACAUUCCGAAAGGAAUGCUAAUGCCGUAUAAUGUGCAGUUUACAAUGUUUAUUGCACCAAAGUUUUUCGCUUGAAGAUAAGCUCGCGUCUGAUUAGCUAGUUGGCGGGGUAAUGGCUCACCAAGGCAACGAUCAGUAGCCGAACUGAGAGGUUGAUCGGCCACAUUGGGACUGAGAUACGGCCCAAACUCCUACGGGAGGCAGCAGUGGGGAAUAUUGCGCAAUGGGGGAAACCCUGACGCAGCAACGCCGCGUGAAGGAUGAAGGUCUUCGGAUUGUAAACUUCUUUGAGUGGGAAACAUAAUGAGGGUACCCACAGAACAAGCCACGGCUAACUACGUGCCAGCAGCCGCGGUAAUACGUAGGUGGCAAGCGUUAUCCGGAUUUAUUGGGUGUAAAGGGCGUGUAGGCGGAAUUUUAAGUCAGGUGUGAAAUUUCAAGGCUUAACCUUGAGGCUGCAUUUGAAACUGAUUUUCUUGAGUGCUGGAGAGGAAAGUGGAAUUCCUAGUGUAGCGGUGAAAUGCGUAGAUAUUAGGAGGAACAUCAGUGGCGAAGGCGACUUUCUGGACAGUUACUGACGCUGAGGCGCGAAAGCAUAGGGAGCAAACAGGAUUAGAUACCCUGGUAGUCUAUGCUGUAAACGAUGGAUACUAGGUGUAGGAGGUAUCGACCCCUUCUGUGCUGGAGUUAACGCAAUAAGUAUCCCACCUGGGGAGUACGGUCGCAAGAUUGAAACUCAAAGGAAUUGACGGGGGCCCGCACAAGCAGUGGAGUAUGUGGUUUAAUUCGAAGCAACGCGAAGAAUCUUACCAGGGCUUGACAUCCUCAGAAUCUUUUGGAAACAAAAGAGUGCCUUCGGGAACUGAGAGACAGGUGGUGCAUGGUUGUCGUCAGCUCGUGUCGUGAGAUGUUGGGUUAAGUCCCGCAACGAGCGCAACCCUUAUUGCCAAUUGCCAUCAUUUAGUUGGGCACUUUGGCAAGACUGCCGGUGACAAAUCGGAGGAAGGUGGGGAUGAUGUCA
rnacentral:rRNA from 1 species